GACGAACGCUGGCGGCGUGCUUAACACAUGCAAGUCGAACGGAAAGGCCCUGCUUUUGUGGGGUGCUCGAUUGGCGAACGGGUGAGUAACACGUGAGUAACCUGCCCCUGACUUUGGGAUAACUUCAGGAAACUGCGGCUAAUACCGGAUAGGAGCUCCUGCUGCAUGGUGGGGGUUGGAAAGUUUCGGCGGUUGGGGAUGGAUUCGCGGCUUAUCAGCUUGUUGGUGGAGUAGUUGCUUACCAAGGCUUUGACGGGUAGCCGGCCUGAGAGGGUGACCGGCCACAUUGGGACUAAGGUACGGCCCAGACUCCUACGGGAGGCAGCAGUGGGGAGUAUUGCAGAAUGGGCGGAAGCCUGAUGCAGCAACGCCGCGUGCGGGAUAACGGCCUUCGGGUUGUAAACCGCUUUCGCCUGUGACGAAGCGUGAGUGACGGUAAUGAGUAAAGAAGCACCGGCUAACUACGUG
rnacentral:rRNA from 1 species